rnacentral:siRNA from 1 species
ACAAAGAGCGUUAGGAACGAGGU